AUAAACGACAUUCCUACUCUGACCGGCAACCAGUGUACACGGGUAUCAUUAAAACUCUGCCACUCGAGAACCUCCAUCGACAACCAACAACGAUACUACAUUUUGGCGACGAGGAAAAUGACUAAUCCAUUGGAUAUGAUUCGCACAUUGGGCCUACAGCUGCAAGCGUUUGAUUAUGUAUCGUUCACCGAUGAUGUCGGCAUCGAGUGGCGCAAGUGGCUAAGAUCGUUUGAAACGAUGAUGCGAGCCAGCCGUAUAGAUGACGAAGAAUGGAAGAAGGACUUACUGCUGCACUACGCAGGACCCAGUGUUCAGUUGUUGUUUGAAACUUUACCGGAGUUACCGGAAGUGGAAAUGCGUGGACCGUUGCUCAAUGUGGAGCGGUAUUUCCCAAACAUGACCGGCUACGAUGAGGUCAAAGCCAAAUUGAACGAGUUUUUCUUGCCAAAGGAAAAUUCGACUUAUGAGCGACAUUUGCUUCGACAGAUGCAACAGAAAGCGGGUGAGAAUAUUGAUGCUUUCACUAUCAGGCUCAGAGUCCAAGCGGAACGCUGCGGUUUUGGUGACAGAUUGGAUGAGAACAUUAAGGAUCAAAUCAUCCAGAACUGUCAAUCUACUGCUCUUCGUCGUGAGCUACUAAAACGAGGCGAUGUAAGCUUGGAAGAGGUGCUUAGUACGGCUAAAAUUUUCGAAACUGUUGCACAACAAGAGAAAUCAUUCACUAAUGGAGAUGGAAUGAAGCCCCCAGUAAGUGAGGUCAAUAAGGUCGAUCUGACACCUUCCUCCAGCAAAAGGAUGCGAUUCGCUGGACCAAAUAAUUUCGAGUGUCAUCGUUGUGGAUACCUAGGACACCUGGCCAGAGACGAUUCAUGUCCGGCACGAGGAAAAACAUGCAGCAAGUGCUUUGGCAAGAACCACUUUGCGAAGAAGUGUCGUACAAGGCAUCCGACUAAACCGAAAAGCUAUCCCAAGAGCGAACGCUCAGGAAACGAACAGACUCCCACGGUGAGUUCAAAAUCCAAUGAAAACGAAAAUUCACAUACGGUGAAGCACAUCGCUGAUGAUUCGGUUAACGACUACGCGGAAUACAUUUUCAAUGUAACGUCUUGUGACAGCAAUGCUGAGAUGCAGUGCGAGAUUGGCGGUGUAUCAGUGUCCGCUGUGAUCGACUCGGGUUCGAAAUACAACCUGCUGAGCCAGUCAAAUUGGGAGCAGCUCAAAGGCAACAAAGUGGUUGUAUUAAACCAGCGACGUGAAGCACCUAUGGAGUUCAAAGCAUAUGGAGGGCAAUCACUUCCUUUAAUUGGCGCCUUCAAUGCAAUCCUUAAAGUGGGAACUGCAAAUACCGUGGCCGAGAACUAUGUGGUGGAAGGUAACGGGAAAAUAUUGAUCGGACGCGAUACCGCAACGUCAAUGGGUGUUCUAAAAAUUAGUGCCCCUGUCAACGAAGUUGAAGCUAACCAGGACGCUAAAGGGUGCAGUAAACUGGGAACCAUCAAGGACGUUAUUGUAGACAUCCCGAUCCGAGCAGAUGUCACACCGGUUGUUCAGCCGUAUCGUCGUAUACCAGUAGCACUGGAGAAAUUAGUAGAAAAGAAAAUUAAUGAGCUGUUAAACAAGGGUAUAAUUGAGCCAGUUAACGAACCAGCGAAAUGGGUAUCCCCUGUAGUCGUAGUACCCAAGGGCGAUGGCAGUGAUGUACGUAUUUGUGUCGAUAUGCGUCGGGCAAAUGAGGCGGUUGAAAGAGAAAAUCACCCCCUACCGACAAUCGAAGAUUUUUUGCCUCAUCUGGUGAAAGCUAAAGUAUUCUCUCGCUUGGAUGUUGAAAGUGCCUUCCACCAGGUAGAAAUAUCGCGAAGGUCCCGUGAGAUCACGACAUUCAUCACAAGCAGAGGCUUGUUCCGCUAUACCCGACUUAUGUUUGGUAUCAGCUGCGCUCCUGAACUAUUCCAAAAAAUUAUGGAACAGAUUCUGAGCGGAUGCGACGGCUGCGUGGUUUUUAUUGAUGAUGUCCUGGUUUUCGGCGCUGAUCAAGCGGAACACGAUUUGCGACUGAAAAUGGUUCGUCAGAGAUUGCAGGAAUGGAAUGUCGUCCUAAAUGAAGAACAACGACAAACAUCUUAAGAUUCAAAUCAAUGGAACGGAUAUCGAAUCAGUAAGAAAUCACAAGUAUCUCGGAAUAAUAAUAGAUUGCUAUUUAAGCUUUGGCGCACACACAAGACAGAUAAGAACAAACAUUCAAGAUAGAUUGAACAUGAUGAAAGUGCUCAGUGAUAUCAAAACUGGGGCUCAUCCAGACACAGUAGCCAAAAUAUAUAAAUCAAUUUUUCGCAGUGUAUUGGAAUAUGGCAGUGUAGUGCAUUGUAACGCGAAGGAAAGCAACCAUAAGAUGUUGACUAUAGUAAACAACCAGUGCCUAAGAAAAAUAACGGGCCCGACGCGCUCCACGCCGCUGAACGUACUGACAGCACUAAGUGGUCAAGAACCAUUACAUCUCAGGCAAGAAUAUGUUGCGGCUAGAGAAAUCAUACGCUGUUGCGCUAGAGAUAGUAUCGUCGCACACCAAUUAGAGCAUAUAAAUCCCCCAGCGAAUGAAAACGAUUUAGAGAGUUUUUCUUUUAUGGAGCGGCUCUACUGCAAACAUAAGGACACCUUUGACAACAUAACUAAGGAUAAACGGUUGUACACGGUAGGUAGAGUUGGAAUCGCUUCUUGCAUAGAGGGAUUACUCAGCUCUAAAGUCAACACAAAUCCCAUGAAAUCAAGCAAAUGGCACUGUUCACUAUGAAUGGGACUCAUAGAGGACGAGGGCGCAUUUUUACAGAUGCGUCGAAAGAAAAUACAGCAUGUGGCAUAGGUGUUUUAUUGAAAGUACCCGUCAGAGGUUUCACUAUCGCUUGAAGAACGAGACAAGCAUCACGUCAGCAGAACUUACAGCGAUAAAAAAGGCGACCUCGUUAGUAGACGAGUUUCAUCUAGAGAAUUUUGUCAUCUACACCGACUCGAAAUCAGCUCGUGUAAUGCUAGAGAGCACACGAGAUAGCAACCAUGGCGAAGACAUACUAAUCGACAUAUUAAAAAUCUGUGCGAAAUGGAACAUUUUCAUCCAGUGGAUUCCGAGCCAUGUGGCAAUACAGGGGAACGACAUCGCAGACCUUUUAGCUAAAAAAGGUUUAACAUCAGACAAUAUUUUGGAAAACAAAUUUUUGGUGAGUGAUGCAUUCAUGUUUUUCAAACAGUUACUAGCAAAAAACGCCACAGAAUGGUAUAAAUCAUAUUCGGUGGAGAAGGGAAAAAAAUUCUACGAAAUAAAUCGAACUUUCUCAACAACACCCUGGUAUAGGAAAAAAGUUAUGAAUGGUCAGGACAUAAGGCUCAUAAACAGACUUAUGUCUGGACAUGAUUACUCACGAUAUUGGCUAGCCCGCAUGAAAAUUGUUUCUGACCCCGAUUGUGAUCUCUGCGAAGAAGCAGAGACUGCAGAACACAGUAUACUGCAUUGUAUGAAGUAUUGCAUUCGAAGAAUGGACUACAGCUUCGACAAAAAAUACAGAUCACUAGCUGAAAUAUUCACUAACGGUGAUAUUGACACCUACAAGGAAAUAGCUAAAUUCGUGAGGAAAAAUAAACUAAAUAUUUGAACGAUUUGAACACUCUAGAACAAAGUACAGCAGGGCAUAUAGUCGAUGCGACUGGCCCUCCCAAUAGAGCUGUCACGAGACGGCUCAAAAAGAAUUAAGAAGAAGAAGAAGAAGUCUUUCGUUUGUUAGAAAUAGUUCCAGUGCAAGUGAAAAAAACUUGACCGUUCGUGCCUCUCCGGAGGAAUAUAGUCAAACGGUCAGACUCAGCUUUUUUGCUGCUGCGUUUGCGGUUUUUGUCGUGUUCGCGUAGUGUUUGUAUUGUGAUGCUGAUUCACUUGCACGUAGGAAAUCCAGCGAUCAAAUUGGACACAAAAUCCAGUCGGAGCACGGCAUCGGCGCUGGUAUCGGCUGCAUGGUCAUGUCCUUCGCUAUUGGACCUAUCCUGAUGAUGAAAAAUGCAAGCCUCCGAUCGGGAGCAUGAAUUUGCAGAAGUGCCCAGACUGGUAUGCUCUCGAUUGAACAAAUUAUUAUUACAAUUUCGACGUCCAGCACUGCCGGAUGAUGUUGAAUCGCUGGUGCUGGCAAAGUAAGGCAAUUCAGCGGUAUUUGCUGUCAGCUGAUUGUUGCGACGAGUGGUGUGCUAAUUUUAAUAUAACACUCGCUUUGCUUGAAGCCUGGGGACAGACCGAUAGCAGAAGUACGAGUUUCUAAAUACGUUCAAUCUGCUUAAUAUCGGUUUUCUGUACAGUUUCCAUUGUUAGUUGUAUUAUUAGUUAGUUAGUGAGUUAGUAGUAGUAUUAUUAGUUAGUGAGUUAGUAGUAGUAUUAUUAGUUAGUUAUUUAUUAAAAUUAUGAAUUCGAAUGUCCCAAGCAGAUGAAGAUUAGUGUCUUUUUCUUUUUAAAUUGGAUUUUAUGUGAUGAAUUAAUUAUUAACUAGGUAAUAUUGAUUUAGAAUUUAUAUUGGUGCUUAUUACGGGAGUCGCUUCACGGUGAAAUCAGAGUGAAGUGAACAAAAUCCUAUUACCGGACUCACGUAAGCAGCGUUGCCAGGUAUCCAGAUUUAGCUGGAUUAUCCAGAUUUUUGAACAUGUAUCCAGGUAAACAGAUUUGAUGUCCAACUAUCCAGAUUUUUCAUGAAUGAUCCAGAUUUUAUCCAGAUUUUAUUUUCUCUGUUCCGCAAAAAGGUCAUCACUUCAAAUUUGGCGCGAAAUUUUGCAAUUUUGUCACCUUAAAUUUUACGUACCUCAAGACUUUUAUCCGAAGAAUUUAACUUUCACCCCUCGAAAUGACUUCCAGAUUUUUUCCAGAUUUUUUUUUUUGCCUUUUCCAAAUUUAAAAAAAAAAGACCUGACAACGCUGCACGUAAGUGAGAAAAACGUCGCAAAGUGACAUCUGCCGUGGAAUCUGGGUUAUUAUGAGUGUCAUAUCAGUGAAGUGAGAACGGAAAAAGCGACGUUUCGCGUGGAAUUAUUUCACGACCAUUUUGAACGGUGAAAUGAUUCCACGAAGAUGCCAUAAGUCUUAAUGUUGAUUGAUUUGUGAUUUAAUGGUAAAUAUUGGAUUAAUUCUUCAGUAACGAAGCGAAUCAGAAUUUGAUCCGUGCCUUAAAGCGGCCAAAUUUUCAUUUUUUUGCCCGAUGAAAAAAAUGCAAACUAGUUCAGGAAAUUUUCGAUACCGAAAAAAACAUUUUUUGCUGCCGAAUGUCUUAGAAAUGCAGAACACGUCAAGAUCUGGUGUUAUUCAAAAAAAAAGGUAAACCCGACUUUCUGGGACUUAGACAUUUUUGAGCUGGGAAACAAUCUCAUUUCACUUGUCCUAUUCUCAAUUUUUGUCGCCUCACUUGAGGUGGAAUCGGGAAUAGGUCUAAAAAAGUGAAGUGAGCGUGAGAGUGAAAUAUAUUUCACCGUGAAGUGACUACCGUAAUAAGCACCCGUGAAGUGACUCCCGUAAUAAGCACCAGUAAAAGAUAAAUGUAAGAUUAGGUGCGAGUUUUAUUUCAAUGCAUUUUUUGUUUAAAAGCAACUACAAACUAUUAAUAUAAUGGUGCUUAUUACGGGAGUCACUUCACGGUGAAAUAUAUUUCACUCUUACGCUCACUCCACAGACCUAUUCCCGAUUCCACCUCAAGUGAGGUGACAAAAAUCACCUCCGUGAAGUGAGAUUGACUGUAAAGUGAAAUUGAGAAUAGGACAAGUGAAAUGAGAUUGCUUCCCAGCUCAAAAAUGUCUAAGUCCCAAAAAGUCGUUUUUUCCCGUUUUUUUAGAUAACACCAGAUCAUGACGUGUUCUGCAUUUCUAAGACAUUCGGCAUGAAAAAAAAAUGUUUUCGGUAUCGAAAAUUUCCUGAACUAGUUUGCAUUUUUUUCAUCGGGCAAAAAAAUGAAAAAUUGACCGCUUCAAGGCACGGAUCAAACUCUGAUUCGCUUCGUUACUGAAGAAUAAAUCUAAUAUUUACCAUUAGAUCACAAAUCAAUCAACUUUAAGACUUAUGGCAGCUUCGUGGAAUCAUUUCACCGUUCAAAAUGGUCGUGAAAUAAUUCCACGCGAAACGUCGCUUUUUCCGUUCUCACUUCACUGAUAUGACACUCAUAAUAACCCAGAUUCCACGGCAGAUGUCACUUUGCGACGUUUUUCUCACUUACGUGAGUCCCGCAAUAGGAUUUUGUUCACUUCACUGUGAUUUCACCGUGAAGUGACUCCCGUAAUAAGCACCAAUAAAGUGUUAAAUGUAUAUAAUAGUGUUGAUGUAGUUCAGGAAAUUUUCGAUACCGAAAAAAACAUUUUUUUUGAUGCCGUAUGUCUUAGAAAUGCAGAACACGUCAAGAUCUGGUGUUAUCUAAAAAAACGGGAAAAAACGACUUUCUAAGACAUUCUAAGACAUUCGGCAGCAAAAAAAAUGUUUUUUUCGGUAUCGAAAAUUUCCUGAACUAGUUUGCAUUUUUUUCAUCGGGCAAAAAAAUUAAAAUUUGGCCGCUUUAAGGCACGGAUCAAAUUCUGAUUCGCUUCGUUACUGAAGAAUUAAUCCAAUAUUUACCAUUUAAUCACAAAUCAAUCAACAUUAAGACUUAUGGCAUCUUCGUGGAAUCAUUUCACCGUUCAAAAUGGUCGUGAAAUAAUUCCACGCGAAACGUCGCUUUUUCCGUUCUCACUUUACUGAUAUGACACUCAUAAUAUAAAUAUAAAUUCUAAAUUAAUAUUACCUAGUUAAUAAUUAAUUCAUCACAUAAAAUCCUAUUUAAAAAAAAAAAGACACUAAUCUUCAUCUGCUUGGGACAUUCGAAUUCAUAAUUUUAAUAAAUAACUAACUAAUAAUACUACUACUAACUCACUAACUAAUAAUACUACUACUAACUCACUAACUAACUAAUAAUACAACCAACAAUGGCAACUGUACAGAAAACCGAUAUUAAGCAGAUUGAACGUAUUUAGAAACUCGUACUUCUGCUAUCGGUCUGUCCCCAGGCUUCAAGCAGAGCGAGUGUUAUAUUAAAAUUAGCACACCACUCGUCGCAACAAUCAGCUGACAGCAAAUACCUGUAAAAAUAUAGGACGACGUAUUAGUAUCCGGUGAAAGCCAUAAAUUCACGAAAACCUACCGCUAAAUUGCCUUACUUUGCCAGCACCAGCGAUUCAACAUCAUCCGGCGGUGCUGGACGUCGAAAUUGUAAUAAUAAUUUGUUCAAUCGAGAGCAUACCAGUCUGGGUGCAGCACUUCUGCAAAUUCAUGCUCCCGAUCGGAGGCUUGCAUUUUUCAUCAUCAGGAUAGGUCCAAUAGCGAAGGACAUGACCAUGCAGCCGAUACCAGGGCGGAUGCCGUGCUCCGACUGGAUUUUGUGUCCAAUUUGAUCGCUGGAUUUCCUACGUGCAAGUGAAUCAGCAUCGCAAAACAAACACUACGCGAACACGACAAAAACCCGCAAACGCAGCAGCAAAAAAGCUGAGUCUGACCGUUUGACUAUAUUCCUCCGGAGAGGCACGAACGGUCAAGUUUUUUUCACUUGCACUGGAACUAUUUCUAACAAACGAAACACAGAUUUAAUAAAAACAAGUUCCUAGCGCACGAUCAAAACAAAACUUCUUCUUUUUCCUUCACGU